rnacentral:rRNA from 1 species
AUGGGUUUGCCUUGGUAUCGUGUUCAUACUGUCGUAUUGAAUGAUCCGGGUCGAUUGCUUGCGGUGCAUAUAAUGCACACAGCUCUAGUUUCUGGUUGGGCUGGCUCAAUGGCUUUAUACGAAUUAGCAGUUUUUGAUCCCUCUGAUCCUGUUCUGGAUCCAAUGUGGAGACAAGGUAUGUUCGUAAUUCCCUUCAUGACUCGUUUAGGAAUAAUGGAUUCGUGGGGUGGUUGGAGUAUUUCAGGAGGAACUGUAACAAAUCCGGGUAUUUGGAGUUAUGAAGGUGUGGCAGGUACGCAUAUUGUGUUUUCUGGCUUGUGUUUCUUGGCAGCGAUCUGGCAUUGGGUAUAUUGGGACCUAGAAAUAUUCUCUGAUGAGCGGACGGGAAAACCCUCUUUGGAUUUUCCCAAGAUCUUUGGAAUUCAUUUAUUUCUUGCAGGGGUGGCUUGCUUUGGCUUUGGGGCAUUUCAUGUAACGGGUUUGUAUGGUCCUGGGAUAUGGGUAUCCGAUCCUUACGGACUAACUGGAAAAGUACAAGCUGUAAUCCAGCAUGGGGUGCAGAAGGUUUUGAUCCUUUUGUUCCGGGGGGAAUAG